ACUCCUACGGGAGGCAGCAGUGGCGUAAUUUUGGACAAUGGGCGCAAGCCUGAUCCAGCCAUUCCGCGUGCAGGAUGAAGGCCCUCGGGUUGUAAACUGCUUUUGUACGGAACGAAACGCGCCGGGUUAAUACCCCGGCGUAAUGACGGUACCGUAAGAAUAAGCACCGGCUAACUACGUGCCAGCAGCCGCGGUAAUA
rnacentral:rRNA from 1 species